UACGGAGGGUGCAAGCGUUAUCCGGAAUCAUUGGGUUUAAAGGGUCCGCAGGCGGACGUAUAAGUCAGUGGUGAAAUCCUCCCGCUUAACGGGAGAACUGCCAUUGAUACUGUACGUCUUGAAUUCGGUCGAAGUGGGCGGAAUGUGUCAUGUAGCGGUGAAAUGCAUAGAUAUGACACAGAACACCGAUAGCGAAGGCAGCUCACUCGGCCUGGAUUGACGCUCAGGGACGAAAGCGUGGGGAGCGACCAGG
rnacentral:rRNA from 1 species